rnacentral:rRNA from 1 species
GACGAACGCUGGCGGCGUGCUUAACACAUGCAAGUCGAACGGAAAGGCGCUGCUUUUGUGCUGUGCUCGAUUGCGGAAGGCGUGAGGAUCACGUGAGUAUCCUCCCCCUGACUUUGUGAUAUCUUCAGGAAACUGGGGCGAAUAUCCGAUAGAAGCUCCUGCUUCAUGUUGCGGGUUCGAAAGUUUCGGCGGUUGCGGAUAGACUCGAGGGUUACGGGCCGUUUGGUCGGGUGGUGGCUUACCAAGGCUUUGACGGGUAGCCGGCCCGAGAGGGUGACCGGCCACCUGGGGACUGAGAUACGGCCCAGAGUAGUACGGGAGGCAGCAGUGGGGAAUAUUGCACAAUGGGCGGAAGUCUGAUGCAGAAACGCUGCGUGCGGGAUGAUGGCCUUCGGGUUGUAAACCGCUUUGUCCGGUGACGAAGCGUGAUUGACGGUACUUGGUCAAGAAGCACCGGCUAACUACGUG